UACGGAGGGAGCUAGCGUUGUUCGGAUAUACUGGGCGUAAAGGGCGCGUAGGCGGCCCGUCAAGUCCCGUGUGAAAGCCCCCGGCUCAACCGGGGAACUGCACGGGAAACUAGCAGGCUUGAGUUCGGGAGAGGGAAGCGGAAUUUCGGGUGUAGCGGUGAAAUGCGCAGAUAUCCGAAGGAACACCGGUGGCGAAGGCGGCUUCCUGGACCGACACUGACGCUGAGGCGCGAAAGCUAGGGGAGCAAACGGG
rnacentral:rRNA from 1 species